CCGGAUGCAGCUGCAGCAAACGAACUAAAUCUCCACCGACGGUGGCGGCGCUGACCUAGAUCCCUUCUCCAAGCAGGGCAAGUUCACCCUGCUGUUCCAUCUGUCCGAUGGCUCCUCGACGUUGCGUCGCCGGUGGCCCAGUUUGAGGCGGUGCAGAUCGGAGCUCAUCGGCUCCUAAGCUUCGCCCCGUAGUGUUCUCAUCGCGGCCUCCCAUCUGAAGCUCCGGUUGCGUUGGGUUCGUUGCCUCCUCCUCCUCUCCCAGGCUCCAGAUCAGCUCGCGUCUUCCUCCCCUCGUCGACGACAAGCCAGUGUGGUUCCCUCGGCUCCUUCCCGACUGGCUAAACCUACAUAUCGUCAACACGGUGGUUCAUUUUCCUGGUCUUAUCUGUGCCAGCACAAGAAGCUUGAUGAACGAGAAGCACUAGAAGUGGAGGCAAAGGCUGCUUUCCUGUUGUGUACCAUCAGGCUUGCCAAGUUGAUGCAUUUUCAAUGACAAUGCUUGUUGAGCCAUGAUUAUUUUAGUCAUUCAUAAUUAGUCUUGCCCAUGUUGUGCCCAAAAAUGACCGUCUCUCUCAUGCAAUGUAACACUAGAUAUGCAUGUGUCUCUUUUGUUGUGUUCUGGGACCAUUGCAGUUUGAAAUGUAUCAUUAGUUGUGCUUCAAGUGGAUGGAUUAACUCCCAUGUACUCAAAUAUUUCUGAUGAUGUUCACUCAUUUUAGUGACCACCAUGUUAGGAUUCUUCCAUGAUUCGUGAUGUAGCACAAGGUAGUAAUGAAAUCAAAUAUAUAGAAGUUC